rnacentral:misc_RNA from 1 species
UCGUGGGGCUUCGGCCCUCUCGAGAUAGAACCCUUGCCUUUUUGAGUACCUUUCGUUUCCUCGGCGGGCUCGCCCGCCAACGGGGACCACAAUAAACCCUUUUGUAAUACCUGUAAUCGUCUGACGAAACAAACAAAAUUA